rnacentral:rRNA from 1 species
UAGGGAAUAUUGCGCAAUGGGGGAAACCCUGACGCAGCCAUGCCGCGUGAGUGACGAAGGCCUUAGGGUUGUAAAGCUCUUUCGCCAGGGAAGAUAAUGACGGUACCUGGUAAAGAAGCUCCGGCUAACUCCGUGCCAGCAGCCGCGGUAAUACGGAGGGGGCUAGCGUUGUUCGGAAUCACUGGGCGUAAAGGGUAUGUAGGCGGACGAAUCAGUUGGGGGUGAAAGCCCGGAGCUCAACUCCGGAACUGCCCUCAAUACUAUUCGUCUUGAGUUCGUGAGAGGUCAGUGGAAUUCCGAGUGUAGAGGUGAAAUUCGUAGAUAUUCGGAAGAACACCAGUGGCGAAGGCGACUGACUGGCACGAUACUGACGCUAAGGUACGAAAGCGUGGGGAGCAAACAGG